ACACACACACACACACACACACACACACACACACGCCUAGUGGAAUGCAUCUAGGCAACACGCCGAUUCGGACCUGGUCUAAUAUCGAGGUGAAACUUAACGUGCCCCUUAUGUACAUACGUAUAAUUUGAUGUGAACAUCCCUCGAGUUUCUUUGUGGUUCGGGGCCGAAUCGUGACCGCAAGCAACCGGAACUCACAAUGCUAAAAAAGAUGGGAAGUGUAGUAGGGGUGACUCGCCACCCGUGCUAAAUUGAAGCGAUGGUUUCGUUCAUCAGCGGCGGCAGGAAUAGUUAUUUGCCUGUAAAUCUACGUUCGGCUACAUCGAUCUCGGAAACACGUUUAUAAGACUAUAAAUUAUCGUUUCUUUCCUUCGGGGAGAGGGUAGGAAAGGAAGAAAAGACAGCGAGAAAGAGAAAAGUGGGUUUUUUUCGGAAAUAGGAGGUCCAUGUUAUUUAGCUGCUGCUCACCCCUAUUAAAGACUCCUUCCCAAAAGCUUGCGUAACAUUGAUUACUCACAGAGUUCACAGUAACUAUCAUGUAGCUAAAGUAAUUGAGACAAUCACGCUAAGUUAUAGUCGGUCUAAAAGGUACCAUUGAUGUGGUAAUGCCCAUAGAAAGUCAGACAUGCGACUCACUACCAUUUAAUUGCUCCUUUAAACCUGUUAUUACAAUGUUAACUGGCUUAAGUAUAUAUUGCUGCCUUUUAUUGCCUUGAUGUGACAAAUUAAAACAUACAUUCUGGAAGCGGCAUUCAUUUGCGGACGGAGUUGCAGGAAAAAAAGGAGCCGGGAGAUGUCAAACCUGUCAGGAUGAAUUAAUUCUAAAACUUGCAUUUUUGCACUGUAAUUCUCACUGCAGUCUUGUUGCACGAGGAAACAGGAUACACACAACAGAGGCAUAUAUAUUAUAUUAUAUGCGUAUUCCGUCUCGCGCAGACCUGCCGUAAAACGAGCUUCGGGCUCUGGCGGAUUUGGGGAUCGCUGAAGCGAGCCAGGCCACAUCGCCGCCGCUCCGCGGAGAGGAGCGCGCUCUGCGGCCCUCCGCCGCCCCCCGCGCAGCCUACGAGGGCCAGGCCGGCGGCCCCGAGGGGCUCCCAGGCUUUUCUUAAGAGGCCGAGCAACGACAGCAUCCACACGGCCACUGCAGGGACGCCGCUUUUUUUUUUUUCCGCCCAGAUAUUCGGUAUUUUGAAAUCGCACGUCACGGAUGACACAAGCCCGGAUGGAGCAGAAGUGACUGUCGCUGCCGGCCUGAACUGCCGCAUGUCCGAGGAAAGCCGGGCCCGGGUGACCGCCCCCCUCUUCCUUUCCUUUGAGUCUCCAAAUCCCCAAAGGAGCAAAGUUAACGGCGCGUUUUGGAAGCUGCACGGUGCCUCCCCUAGAAGUAGAGCGGCCGGAUCCCUCCGUCUCUUACUUUUGCUGAGGGAAAAUGCAGCCGGCUCGGCAGGAAUUGGGUGUGAAAUAGUGACAGUCGCCUGCGACUCACGGCUGGGAGCGGGGAACAGCGGGGAGGCACGGGACCAGACUGCAGGUGCGCGACUGCCACCUCGGCCAGGGUGCUUGCAAGUAAACCGCUCCUCCAGGAUACAGAGCCUUCCUCCACAUAGCUCCCUGCAGUUUUUUUCUUUUUUUCUUUUUUUUUUACCUGCUUACGUACAUGUGCCCUCCCGAGCGCACUUUCCUUCUGAAGUUUUAAUAAAGAUUCUGCUUCAAAGUCAGUAAUCGGGAAUUAGUUGCAUAGAUGCAUUUGAAUAUUCACCGUGGAUUCCUUUGUUUCUUAACUUUUUUGCGUCUUUUUUUUCUUUAGAAGCCAGGAACAUAUCCGAGUUAUUAGUUACCGGAUUAAAAACAGAGGGGUGAAUUUUAUAUUACUUAAUGUACAGCAUUACUACUGUAACUAUAAAUGUUAACUUUUCCACUGUUCCUCUACUGCUACAGUGAAAAGGCUCUAUUCGAUUAACUCGGCCGUGAGAAGCUUGCCCGAGCACCGGGGAAGUGCCUGAAUGCAGAAGGCGACCAAAGGAACUAUAUGUAAAUCCCGUGUGUGUCUCUCUCCCUCUCUCUUUAUUUCUUUUCCCCAAAGUUAAUAAGUAAUAAAUUCCUUCCAGUAUUGCUUACUCUCCUGCUACGGUUUCUCAACGGUGCGUUGAGCCUUAACUUCGCUUAAGUGAGAUGUAACAUGCGACGGGCGCAGAAACUUCCAGAGGCGGCAGGGCUUUUUCCCGGCUUGUUUGGCUCGGAGGGGCCGCGACGAGGCGAUCAGUGCGGUGCCGGGCGGCGGCCCGGGCUGCCGCCGCAGCGCCGCGCCGGGGCCCCCGCCUCCGCCUCCCGGCAGCACUCUGACCGCUCCCGAGCCGGGUGGGUCCUCCAGGUAGGGCGGAAUUAGACGGUGCACUUUGCAAUUUGUUUCCUCGCCUAAAAAUUAUCCUUCCCCCGAAAGCCUCAAGACCUCCUCCAAGCGUGAGCCUUUGGAAAGCCUGACCUCAUUAUUAUGAUGAUGAUUAUUAUUAUUUCUGCAGUCGCUCUCUUUUUUAGGGACGGGCCUGUUUCCCCUCAAGCCACGACCUUGUGUGUCCAGGAGCGGUUCCCACGUCUGUCUGUCUGUCCGCUGCUGGCCUGCGCUGUGUUAUACCUCUGUCCCCCUCCCUUCCCCCAGUCUCCACUCAAACAAAGGGAGCGAGGAAAAGCGCAGCCCAGGAAGUGCAAAGUGGAAAGCGACCCUCUUCCUAUUUGACGACAGCGCUAAUUCCUCGGGGAUCCCACCUGAGGUUAAAGCUUGAAUUUCAAUAAAUCAUCUCUAAUGAAAACCCUCCCCUCUUCAGGGCCAGAGGUUGUCAUCCUCGCGCCGAAACGAGCACAGAAACAGGAGGGAGGGGGCGAAGGGAGUAAAUAUAAAAAGGGGUGUGAGAUUUUAAUCCCAGCGGGCUGAUUAGCAUCGUUACGAAAUAAACUGUACACAAAGUGCUGAA